CACUGCGGACAGCAACCGCCAUCCAGGGCGGUGAUUGGCCAACGAGGUGGAAGAGGGCGUGUUCAGAACGUAAUGCGGCACUCCUAUUGGCUCAAAUCCGUGAGCGUGGUCACUGCCGUGUGGAUAUGCGGGGAAUGUUGACUCGCACUCAAUGAAGAUUACAACACACUUUAGAAACAAUCUGAAGAAACGAGCGUCUGUGCUGACUCUAGCUUGUGCUGGUGAUUGCUCAGGAGUGAACGAGUGUUUAAGUAUGCACUAGAAAGCCAUGUUACUGUAGAGGCGCUCGGUGUGCAGAAGAUUCACAGCUCUUAAGAACAAGUAGCCGUCAUUCAUUUCUCAAUGGCUGAAAACAACUUUCCUCCUCUGCCUGGCUUUAUUCCUCUGAAGCCGUGCUUCCACCAGGACUUCGAGGAGAUUCCUGACCAGCACCGCACCAUGUGCAAGAGACUCUACCAUCUGUGGAUCUGUGAGUCUGGAAAACACACCAAACUAACCUGCAAAUAACACUGAGGU